rnacentral:tmRNA from 1 species
GGGGGCGAUCGGCUUCGACGGGGGAUUCGAAAUCGCUGGGUGCAUGCCGAGGGGGUAGCUUUCCUCGUUAAUCCAGCUGCAAAACUUUAGUUGCCAACGACGACAACUACGCACUGGCCGCUUAAGGCCUAGCCCCGACCGAGCUUGUACCGGUGCUCGCGAAGGAAGGGUCAUGAUCACCGGAUAAGCGCUGCCUGUGCCUGGGUGGUAGCGACGAAAAUCAACAGGCUGGUUCACGGGUAAGCGCGCGUUUCGGCAUCCUGCGAACGAGACCAAAGAAGCGAUAAGCAUGUAGUACCUGGGACGUAGGUUCUUCGGACGCGGGUUCAAUUCCCGCCGCCUCCACCA